rnacentral:rRNA from 1 species
UACGGAGAGUGCAAACGUUGUUCGGAUUUACUGGGCGUAAAGGGCGCGUAGGCGGUCAGCACAAGUCAGUUGUGAAAUCUCCGGGCUUAACUCGGAAAGGUCAACUGAUACUGUGCGACUAGAGUGCAGAAGGGGCAACUGGAAUUCUCGGUGUAGCGGUGAAAUGCGUAGAUAUCGAGAGGAACACCUGCGGCGAAGGCGGGUUGCUGGGCUGACACUGACGCUGAUGCGCGAAAGCCAGGGGAGCGAACGGG